rnacentral:rRNA from 1 species
CCUACGGGUGGCAGCAGUAGGGAAUAUUGCUCAAUGGGGGAAACCCUGAAGCAGCAACGCCGCGUGAGGGAUGAAGGUUUUCGGAUUGUAAACCCCUUUUGUUAGGGAAGAAAAUGACGGUACCUGACUAAUAAGCACCGGCUAACUCCGUGCCAGCAGCCGCGGUAAUACGGCGGGGGCCAGCGUUACUCGGAAUUACUGGGCGUAAAGAGCGCGUAGGCGGGAUAGCAAGUCAGGUGUGAAAUCCUCGGGCUUAACCAUAGAACUGCAUUUGAAACUGUGAUUCUAGAGUAUGGGAGAGGUAGGUGGAAUUCUUGGUGUAGCGGUAAAAUGCGUAGAGAUCAAGAGGAAUACUCAUUGCGAAGGCGGCCUGCUAGAACAUAACUGACGCUGAUGCGCGAAAGCGUGGGGAGCAAACAGGAGUAGAUACCCUAGUAGUC